rnacentral:rRNA from 1 species
CACGUAGGGUGCGAGCGUUGUCCGGAAUUAUUGGGCGUAAAGAGCUCGUAGGCGGUGUGUCGCGUCGGCCGUGAAAACCUGCAGCUUAACUGUGGGCUUGCGGUCGAUACGGGCAUCACUGGAGUUCGGCAGGGGAGACUGGAAUUCCUGGUGUAGCGGUGAAAUGCGCAGAUAUCAGGAGGAACACCGGUGGCGAAGGCGGCUAUCUGGACUGACACUGACGCUGAGGCGCGAGAGCGUGGGGAGCAAACAGG